ACUUGAAUAGCUUAUUUUAGAGCGCGACACUGAAGAUGUCGAUGAGGUAUUAUUUAUCUUUAAGUG
rnacentral:tRNA from 1 species